rnacentral:rRNA from 1 species
CGAUAACGAACGAGACCUUAACCUGCUAAAUAGCCCGUAUUGCUUUGGCAGUACGCUGGCUUCUUAGAGGGACUAUCGGCUCAAGCCGAUGGAAGUUUGAGGCAAUCACAGGUCUGUGAUCCCCUUAGAUUUUGUGGGCCGCACGCGCGCUACACUGACGGAGCCAGCGAGUAUCUCCUUGGCCGAAAGGCCCGGGUAAUCUUGUUAAACUCCGUCGUGCUGGGGAUAGAGCAUUGCAAUUAUUGCUCUUCUAACGAGGAAUCACCCUAGU